UAUUGGUCAAUGGGAGAGAUCCUGAACCAGCCAAGCCGCGUGAGGGAAGACGGCCCUAUGGGUUGUAAACCUCUUUUGUCGGAGAACAAAACCCGGGACGUGUCCCGGACUGCGUGUAUCCGAAGCAAAAGCAUCGGCUAACUCCGUGCCAGCAGCCGCGGUAAUACGGAGGGUGCGAGCGUUAUCCGGAUUGAUUGGGUUUAAAGGGUGCGUAGGCGGUGCGUUAAGUCAGCGGUAAAAUUGCGGGGCUCAACCCCGUCGAGCCGUUGAAACUGGCAGACUUGAGUUGGCGAGAAGUACGCGGAAUGCGCGGUGUAGCGGUGAAAUGCAUAGAUAUCGCGCAGAACUCCGAUUGCGAAGGCAGCGUACCGGCGCCAGACUGACGCUGAGGCACGAAAGCGUGGGGAUCGAACAGG
rnacentral:rRNA from 1 species